rnacentral:rRNA from 1 species
GACCGUGCAAAGGUAGCAUAAUCAUUUGCCUUAUAAUUGAAGGCUAGUAUGAAUGGUUUGACAAGAAUUAAGCUGUCUCUUUUUAAUUGGGUAUAAUUUUAUAAAUAGGUGAAGAAGCCUAUAUUAUAUUGAAAGACAAGAAGACCCUGUCGAGCUUAAAAUGAGUUGGUAAAUUAUGUAUAUAUUCUAUAAAAGAAUUAAAUUACUAAAAAUUUUGGUUGGGGCGACUGAGGAACAAAAGAAGCUUCCUUUAGAUCAGAGAAUACAAACGAGUGUUGAUCCAAAAAUUUUGAUUAAAGAAAUUAGUUACCGCAGGGAUAACAGCAUAAUCCUCUUUGAGAGUCCUAAUCGAAAAGGGGGUUUGUGACCUCGAUGUUGGACCAGAAUAUCCUAAAGAUGCAGCCGUCUUUAAUGGUUGGUCUGUUCGACCAUUAAAAUUCUACGUGAUCUGAGUUCAGACCGGCGUGAGCCAGGUCAGUUUCUAUCUUCAAUUUUUAAAAUAAUUUUAGUACGAAAGGACCAAGUUAUUUCAAGAUUCUUGUUGUUAAAUGAUUAAAUAUAAAAAAGUAUUAAAUAUUUAAAACAUCAAAUUAGCAAAGAUAAUGCAAUUGACUUAGGAUCAAUAGACAUAGGUGAAAUUCCUUUAUUUGAUAAAAUGUCUAUGUAUGAAGGUGGCAGAAAAA